AAACCUUUCUCCAGACACUGCAGACACUCAGCAUGGACUCCCCACUGAAGAGGAGCUUUUGGGGUGACGGUCGCUGACUGAAGAAACAUGCCUGGCAUGGAAGUGUUUGGGGGAAAUUUAUCUAAGGGUCAAACUUCAAACUCUGAGUUGGGAAAAGGAAAAGCAAUGGGACCCUGCCAGGCACAACAUCAGAUUUCACAGUCUCAACCUGCCUGGUUCUGUGAGUUGUCAGCCGUGAGCCACCCAUCCUAGUGAAGGUCUGGAUUACUCAAGAGUCUGCUCAAUGGCCUCACACUCAGCAGAUCCUUGCUGAGGCUCUCAUACAA